AGCAAGCAGAUUAUUUCUAAAUCUAAUUUUUUUUUAGAGCCAUAGAAGAAAUUCAAGAAACCCCGGCCCACCUGCUGAUGUCUCUUGUCCAAUGGUAUGGUUGCGAGACUAAGAACGGACUUCGAGCACUGGAGAGUGUAAUUAGAAGCAAGAAUCUAAAGGAUCAUGAACAACAUCCAAGUUGGAUACCAGAUGAAGAGGAGGAGGAGGAGGAUGAGGAGCUAAGAAAAGAUCUGGCUUUUCACAGGUUGAUUUAACUUGGAUAAAAUAGAAGAUGGAGAGAAAUGAACUAAUACUCAAUACCCUACCCUGGCUGCAUUAUAAACAUAAUAUACUGUUUUGUAAUAAAAUAUUUAUCAUUUAUUUAUUCUGGGAGAUUUAAUAAAUGAUCAUACUGAA